rfam:Zea mays cultivar B73 chromosome 9, whole genome shotgun sequence.
AUACCUUUCUCGGCCUUUUGGCUAAGAUCAAGUGUAGUAUCUGUUCUUAUCAGUUUAAUAUCUGAUAUGUGGAUCAUGUGUCCAUUUCGAUAUUAAAUUUAUUUUUUAUGGGGAGAACUCGUAACAGUAGCUUGCUGCUGGAGUCUUCAAGUGUCGUUUGGGUGUUGCACUAUUGCCCAGACCUGGCACACCCCAA